rnacentral:rRNA from 1 species
UACGAAGGGGGCUAGCGUUGCUCGGAAUCACUGGGCGUAAAGCGCACGUAGGCGGCUUUUUAAGUCAGGGGUGAAAUCCUGGAGCUCAACUCCAGAACUGCCUUUGAUACUGAGAAGCUUGAGUCCGGGAGAGGUGAGUGGAACUGCGAGUGUAGAGGUGAAAUUCGUAGAUAUUCGCAAGAACACCAGUGGCGAAGGCGGCUCACUGGCCCGGUACUGACGCUGAGGUGCGAAAGCGUGGGGGAGCAACAGG